rnacentral:rRNA from 1 species
AUUGAACGCUGGCGGCAGGCCUAACACAUGCAAGUCGAGCGGGGUUUUCGGACCUAGCGGCGGACGGGUGAGUAAUGCGUAGGAAGCUACCCGAUAGAGGGGGAUACCAGUUGGAACGACUGUUAAUACCGCAUAAUGUCUACGGACCAAAGUGUGGGACCUUCGGGCCACAUGCUAUCGGAUGCGCCUACGUGGGAUUAGCUAGUUGGUGGGGUAAAGGCCUACCAAGGCGACGAUCCAUAGCUGGUCUGAGAGGAUGAUCAGCCACACUGGGACUGAGACACGGCCCAGACUCCUACGGGAGGCAGCAGUGGGGAAUAUUGGACAAUGGGCGAAAGCCUGAUCCAGCAAUGCCGCGUGAGUGAUGAAGGCCUUAGGGUUGUAAAGACUCUUUUACCCGAGAUGAUAAUGACAGUAUCGGGAGAAUAAGCUCCGGCUAACUCCGUGCCAGCAGCCGCGGUAAUGUGACUACU